rnacentral:rRNA from 1 species
UGGGGAAUAUUGGACAAUGGGCGAAAGCCUGAUCCAGCCAUACCGCGUGGGUGAAGAAGGCCUUCGGGUUGUAAAGCCCUCUUGUUGGGAAAGAAAUCCAGCUGGUUAAUACCCGGUUGGGAUGACGGUACCCAAAGAAUAAGCACCGGCCAACUUCGUG